GGAUUGUGCAGUUGGAGAAUUUGUUCAGAUUGGGGUUGGGUGUCCAGGAGAUUCACCGACAGUAGCACCAGCCAUCAUUGGUUUUUAUGGACUCCAUGGCUGUUCUAGGAAAGGAGCGAAAGGGUGAUUUUUUUGGAGGGUCUGAUCAUUGUUGUUCUGCUUGAUUAGCACAACAAUAGGGUUGCUCCCUCCUGUAAAGUAUCGACCACAUCUAUGC